rnacentral:rRNA from 1 species
GGAUGUUUUCAUUGAUCAAGAACGAAAGUAAGGGGAUCGAAGACGAUCAGAUACCGUCGUAGUCUUUACUAUAAACKAUGASGACUGGGGAUCGGGSGAGGAAUUACKAUGACCCSCCCGGCACCCUUCGAGAAAUCAAAGUGUUUGCUUUCUGGGGGGAGUAUGGUCGCAAGGCUGAAACUUAAAGGAAUUGACGGAAGGGCAUCACCGGGUGUGGAGCCUGCGGCUUAAUUUGACUCAACACGGGAAAACUUACCAGGUCMGGACAUAGUGAGGAUUGACAGAUUGAGAGCUCUUUCUUGAUUCUAUGGKUGGUGGUGCAUGGCCGUUCUUAGUUGGUGGAGUGAUUUGUCUGGUUAAUUCCGUUAACGARCGAGACCUGGGCGUGCUAACUAGGGGCUACUACCAUUUUGGUAGUACGCUUACCCUUCUUARACGGACUGUGGGCGUCUAGCCCACGGAAGCUCCAGGCAAUAACAGGUCUGAGAUGCCCUUAGAUGUUCUGGGCCGCACGCGUGCUACACUGAGUGGAUCAGCGGGUCAGGUUGCGCGAAAGUGUUUCCUAAUCUUUAAAUCCGCUCGUGAUGGGGAUUGACGGUUGCAAUUUUCCGUCAUGAACGAGGAAUACCUUGUAAGCGCGGGUCAUCAUCCCGCGCUGAAUACGUCCCUGCCCUUUGUACACACCGCCCGUCGCUCCUACCGAUUGAGUGGUCCGGUGAGGCUUUGGGAUCUGGGCGGAAAGAGCGUUUCRCUGUUUCUGCCCGGAAAACUCAGUCGAACCUUAUCAUUUAUAGGAAGGAGAAGUCGUAAC